AACGAACGCUGGCGGCAUGCCUAACACAUGCAAGUCGAACGAGACCUUCGGGUCUAGUGGCGCACGGGUGCGUAACGCGUGGGAACCUGCCCUUAGGUUCGGAAUAACUCCCCGAAAGGGGUGCUAAUACCGGAUAAUGUCUUCGGACCAAAGAUUUAUCGCCUUUGGAUGGGCCCGAGUUGGAUUAGCUAGUUGGUAGGGUAAAAGCCUACCAAGGCGACGAUCCAUAGCUGGUCUGAGAGGAUGAUCAGCCACACUGGGACUGAGAAACGGCCCAGACUCCUACGGGAGGCAGCAGUGGGGAAUAUUGGACAAUGGGCGAAAGCCUGAUCCAGCAAUGCCGCGUGAGUGAUGAAGGCCUUAGGGUUGUAAAGCUCUUUUACCCGGGAUGAUAAUGACAGUACCGGGAGAAUAAGCCCCGGCUAACUCCGUG
rnacentral:rRNA from 1 species